rnacentral:rRNA from 1 species
GAACGCUGGCGGCGUGCCUAAUACAUGCAAGUCGAGCGAACGGACGAGAAGCUUGCUUCUCUGAUGUUAGCGGCGGACGGGUGAGUAACACGUGGAUAACCUACCUAUAAGACUGGGAUAACUUCGGGAAACCGGAGCUAAUACCGGAUGAUAUUUUGAACCGCAUGGUUCAACAGUGAAAGACGGUCUUGCUGUCACUUAUAGAUGGAUCCGCGCUGCAUUAGCUAGUUGGUAAGGUAACGGCUUACCAAGGCAACGAUGCAUAGCCGACCUGAGAGGGUGAUCGGCCACACUGGAACUGAGACACGGUCCAGACUCCUACGGGAGGCAGCAGUAGGGAAUCUUCCGCAAUGGGCGAAAGCCUGACGGAGCAACGCCGCGUGAGUGAUGAAGGUCUUCGGAUCGUAAAACUCUGUUAUUAGGGAAGAACAUAUGUGUAAGUAACUGUGCACAUCUUGACGGUACCUAAUCAGAAAGCCACGGCUAACUACGUG